rnacentral:piRNA from 1 species
UACCAUGUACUCAGUCUAGACAGAUAGAU